AAGUAUCAGAGCUGAAUAAAAGAAGAGACAGCAGUAUUUCUUCUUCAUAUCCUGAGUCCAGAUACUUCGCUCUUUCCCCUAGAAGCUGCAACAUAUGAAAUUGUGAGUGUCAGACCAGUAAUUCAGUGGACUGCUACAGGCCAGAGUCUCAGCGAUUGCCCAAUAUUUAUUACCUUCUGGAAUAUUUUUAAAGGAUACCAAGAUGGGAUUGGCAUAAAAAUAGACGUGGCAGCUCUUUGGCAUAUGGGAAUUCUCCAUAGCAGAAGGACUCGUGAGAAUGAAACAUUUGACCUUCCAAGAACAGCGUUCUGGUCUGUGGUGAAUGAAGAGGUAACAUAGAACAACUAAUAAGGGCAGAGGUCAGAUGCAUUCCAUAAAACACUGGCUUACCAGGUCUGCAUGGUGGCUGCUGGUAACGCACCACAGAAGUGUGAUAGAAGUCACCUUGUGAAGCAAUGCUCUUACGACAAAAAGAGUUUUAUAUUAUUGCCAUGACACAGAAGAGUAAAACUGAGCAAGGACAAAAUAUUGCACGUGCUGCGGAUGUACUUAGUGUGUGCUGUACCUGUCUUUUAUACUGGAAAUUAUUUAUACAGUAUGAGAUCCAGUGAAAAAUAUUCUUUCUUGGAAAACAAAAUUUCUGAAAAAGGUUUUUUGUCCAAAUUUCAUUUUAGUUUCAUUCUUUUAGUUGUCGACAAGGAAACUUUCUGUUUGAUUAAUCAAAGGUUUUCUCCCUGAUUGCUAAACUUACAGUGAAAACAUUGUUCAGAGUUGCUUACAGUGGAUUUCACAGAAAUGCUUAAAGUGAACUCUGACCUUGUAGUUCUAGCAGCAAUAUCUAUCUUCAGGAUCAUUAAUACUUGGAAAUAGAUCCUGAAAAUCAGUGCUACGCCAAUUAUUUUCUCCGCUGCUGCAAAAUAAAAAUAGAAGAUUAAAAAGGCCCCAGACCUUAAAAAUGGCAAAAGCCAUACCUGCUUAUCAGCAGGCUGAUGUGAGUGCUACUCUUAUUUAAAUAAAGAUCUGUUCAAUCUUUUCUUGCUCAGAUUGCAUCUCUGAAGAUUUUUUAAACAGCAGGAAGAGGACUCUAAAAUAUAAUUUGCUCUACAGCAAAUAAAAGCUUGCUUUUCCUUUUGACAUGUAACAGCAGAAAUAUUUAAAGUUCAGAAUUAAGCUGAUUGAUUGACUCAGUAUUGUAAAUUAUUCAUGAACAGUGCAAUUUGUUACUAUGAUAAAAGUCUCUUAAGAUGAGUUUCUCAUCACUGAUCCUAUUAAGGACAAGCACAGAGUAAUAUUUUGGCUGCCUGACUUGGAGUUUAGGAAAAGAAAAAGAUUUCUUAUGGGAUCAACAGAGUGGUUGAAGACUGCAGGUCACUUCCAGCAGCAGCCCUUUCUGUGGGCCUAGGCAAGAAGAAGGUGAUAGGCUUUGUUAGUUGCAUGAACCGUACUGAAAGUCUCUUGACUCAACAGCCUCCUCCCUCCCAUUGCCCUGCUAGAAGGAGCAGUGUGUUGGCACCCUCCAAAAGCGAAGGAGGCGCAGAGAGGCAGCAGCUGGCUCCAUCCCAGCGCUGGCAUUCAGACACCGCCUGCAGAACUGCACUUUGUUGUCCUUCCCUAUGUAAGUGAUUCCUGACCAUCAUGAUCACAGACAUACCAGAAGCCAAAUGGAUUAGUGAGGAGAUUCUCCUUUUUCAUUUCUCAUUAUGGUCAUGGCCAAGUCACAAAGAAAUUCGUAGUAAAAGGAGAAGCUGUGGCUUGAGCAAUUUUCUGUUUGGAAACAAAGCUGCGAAACCAGAUACGACAGGCAGAAGAAUUCAUUUUAUAAAGAACUAUGUAUUUUCAUAAGCCCUGCUAGAAUCUGAAACAAAAGUAUAGUUUUACAUUCUCCUUUGUACCAUGAUCAUCUGCUUGCGAAGUUUUAGAUACAUAUAUUACAAUGAAUUUUUGGGGGUGGGGAGAAAGGAAUGAGGAAAGGCAUUGAUUUAGGAUUUUAUUUUAUUUUAAACUUUCAUGGCUCUCUCAAGACUAUGCUCAUCAGAAUCAUUUCAGCUCCUCUUAGACUCAGAUGAAACAGCUGAGUCUGAGGAGGGAGGUAAAAACGAGUUGAACACUGGACCACUAGUGGGGAUAUGAAUUUGUUAUAGAGAACCUGGAGAAAAGAGUGAAGGAAGUUUAAGGCUUUGGACAGAGGACACCAGAGUAAAUUUUAUGUGCAGCAUUAUGACUGGUUAAAUGGGCAAGUAGCUGAGAAAAUCCAGAUUUUAUAUGGUAGUAUUACAAAAGACGUAGCGUAUUUCUCUUCAGGGUGAAAUUUCAGAGGGAACAGUCCGUCUUAUUCAAAAAUUUUACCUAGUUGAUGGGUAAGUAAGUUCUUCCUUUAAAUUCAGUUCUGUCCUCUAAAUUUCCACAGUAACAGCACACUACAAAAAUAUAUAUUUUAGUGUUGUGUUAAUUUAAUCUAUAGCAUAAAGAGCAAAUAAGUUGUGUUUUCAGCACAUGAGCCUGUUUUAGCCAGGGAUGAAGUCAGAGAAUGAGUAUGCAAAGUUUAUGAGGCUCAUAAGAGUAGAAAGUGGGCUCUUGAAAGCAAUAAAAGACACAGUAAGUAUUCGUUUAUUUUUCAGUUUUAGUAUCAGCAGCAGACUUGUUCACUUAAUUUAGAGCAUAGUACUAGAAAGAGGAAUGCUGUGACUUAACCAGUUAUAGAGUGUAAUAUUCAUGAGAAGUAAUACUUUGUAAAACUUUUAUCAUUCAAACUCUGUUUAAAAAACAGUAUACUAAAACAGCAUUAUUUUGAUUCUUUUCAUAUGCAAAUUAUCAAGACUGAGGCACACUUAUUACAUCGUCAUGGCUUAACUAUUGCUAUUCUAUAAUCUCAUUAAACUCAUAUUUCACACAUCUUCAGGAAUUAUUUUUUUUUCUGUCCAAGCUGUGUUUGAAAGGAAAGUAGAUUUCAGAAAAAUAAUUCAUAAGAGCUCACAAUCCUAUCUGUGCAUUUCUCUACUGAAAACUUAUUAUCCGUGAAGACCCAUUAGAAAUGAUUCUGAACAAAGCAGCACUCUGGAAAACUUCAUACUAGCGCAGUUCUUAAGGGCAGUGUUUCUUAAAACCACAAAUACCUUCAGGAUUUUCAGCUUACUUGGAGAUCAGCGUCCUGAUGAUUGUCUGAGUCCACAAGGCUGUCCUGUACAGUUGGAAGUGUCGCUAGAGGACAUUUUGUUAACUGUAUCUUCUACCCAGAGAAUGAGAAGGAGGAUCUCCAGAUUAAUAGAAAAAUCAUUGCAGGCACCCUCUUUUUCUCUGACAUUGCAGCAAAUGGGUCGCCCUUUUGAUCCUAUAGGACAUGCAACCAUAGUAAGAUGUUAUCAUGUGAUUAACCUAAUAAAUCUGACUAAAUUUUCUAGUAUCUCAUGAAAUGCCUAUUAAAGUUUGAAUAUAAUCUAGAUAACACAAACUGUUUUGAGGAAAAAUGUUUACAGAUAGCUUAUAGACAGACAAGCUGAUAAUAUAUCACUGUAGCUGUCAGGAAACGGAUAGAAUUAGCAAAUUUUGAUUACUCUGUAAGCUAAGUCAAACAGCAGUUACCAAUUUAUGUACACACGGAUAUCUGAGCAUGCCAAAUGGUACAUAAUGCUUUUUGAAAUAGAAAUCUAAUGUUCUACAUCUAUAGGAACGUUGAUCUAAUGGUUCAAUAAUAUUUAGCACUUGUAAAACCCUUUAACGUGUGCAGUAAGGACAUAUAGUUGGAUAUUGCAAGUCAAAAAUAUAGAACAGUUGGAUACC